rnacentral:rRNA from 1 species
AUACGAAGGGGGCUAGCGUUAUCCGGAUUUACUGGGUGUAAAGGGAGCGUAGACGGUUCUGCAAGUCAGGGGUGAAAUCCCGGGGCUCAACCUCGGAACUGCCUUUGAUACUGGGUGUCUAGAGUGUGGAAGAGGUAAGUGGAAUUCCGAGUGUAGAGGUGAAAUUCGUAGAUAUUCGGAGGAACACCAGUGGCGAAGGCGGCUUACUGGUCCAUUACUGACGCUGAGGUGCGAAAGCGUGGGGAGC